AUCACUGUUGGAGGAUGAAGGAAUAUCAGACAAUUGUGCUUGGGCAGAGGAAAGCUUCUCAAACUGAACUUAAUCAUCUUCAAUGGUAGAGUGAAGGGACUCUAUGAUCAUCCACUUGGGCAUACUCCUUUUGCCAUCAGAACCCAUUCUACAAUCGUAGGGAAUGUAGUGGUUACCAGCAUGUCGGUAGACUUUGAAGUGAGACUGGUCUUUGAUCAUCUUGGUUGCAAACUUCUUUACCCUUGGAAAGUUUUGAGAUACCAGCCAUGUUUGGAAACUUUGAGUAAGAUCAGGUGAAGUAGCUCCCAUCUUUAUCAGUAUAUGCUUUUAACUAGGGCAUCCAAGGGAAGAAUCAUCUCAUCAGAAGAUCAUCAGGAUUGUACAGUAUUGUUGUGCAAUCUAACUCCAUG
rnacentral:lncRNA from 1 species